AGGAUGAACGCUGGCGGCGUGCUUAACACAUGCAAGUCGAACGAUGAACCUCACUUGUGGGGGGAUUAGUGGCGAACGGGUGAGUAACACGUGAGUAACCUGCCCUUAACUCUGGGAUAAGCCUUGGAAACGGGGUCUAAUACCGGAUAUUUACGAUUGAUCGCAUGGUUGGUUGUGGAAAGAUUUAUUGGUUUUGGAUGGACUCGCGGCCUAUCAGCUUGUUGGUGAGGUAAUGGCUUACCAAGGCGACGACGGGUAGCCGGCCUGAGAGGGUGACCGGCCACACUGGGACUGAGACACGGCCCAGACUCCUACGGGAGGCAGCAGUGGGGAAUAUUGCACAAUGGGCGCAAGCCUGAUGCAGCGACGCCGCGUGAGGGAUGAAGGCCUUCGGGUUGUAAACCUCUUUCAGUAGGGAACAAGGCCGGCUUUGGUGGUUGAGGUACCUGCAGAAGAAGCGCCGGCUAACUACGUGCCAGCAGCCGC
rnacentral:rRNA from 1 species